rnacentral:lncRNA from 1 species
UAAAUCUGGUUUUUUCUUUCUUCUCUCAACAGCCGUGUGCCAUAGCUUUCCAUCGAUGGCUUUUGUGUUAUUCUACGAUGGAAAUAAUGUGAUUUUUAGUCUCACUUUAUACACGUUUUGGGCUGCUAAAAGAGGUCACGAUUUCAAUUUCCAAAGGCCAUUCUUGUUUGGUGCUGUUGUUGUACUUUUGCUGGUUGCGCUGAUUCAGGUUUGUGGAUCCACAUUUCCACUUUUGGAUCCAUCUUCAAUUAUCAAGUUCUUUUGGCCCUUUAAUUGAAUUCUGAUAAUCUUGUUUUUAUAUAUUUCAGAUUCUGUUUCCUCCGGGGAGGAUAUAUCUGUAAUGAUUUACGGAUGUCUGCUGUCAAUAAUAUUUUGUGGUUACAAAUCGGAGCAAGUGAAGCCAAAGUAGCAUAUGCACCGUAAGCAGGUAAACAUGGAUUAUUAAGUCGGUCUUGAAUUCUUAUAUUAAAGUUGAUGACGUCUAGUGUGAAGCUUUCUACCAAGUUUAUUUCAUACAAAAAAUCCAGAGUGGGUGGAAAGGAUGAAAAAAUGAGUAAUAUUGAGAUGAUAAGUACAUCAUAGUACUUUUUUUUUUUUUUUUCCAUUUUAGUUAUUAUUGGAUUCGGAGUACAAUUUAAAUUUGUUGUACCGUAUUUAUUGAAAAUAUUUUAGUUGUGG